rnacentral:rRNA from 1 species
GACAGAGGGUGCUAGCGUUGUUCGGAAUUACUGGGCGUAAAGGGCGCGUAGGCGGCUCGUUUAGUCGGGUGUGAAAUCCCGGGGCUCAACCCCGGAACUGCAUUCGAUACUGGCGGGCUAGAGACCGGAAGAGGUGGGUGGAAUACCCAGUGUAGGAGGUGAAAAUUCGUAGAUAUUCGCAAGAACACCAGUGGCGAAGGCGGCUCACUGGCCGUCGGUACGUGACGCUGAG